GAUGAACGCUGGCGGCGUGCCUAAUACAUGCAAGUCGAGCGAACGGACGAGAAGCUUGCUUCUCUGAUGUUAGCGGCGGACGGGUGAGUAACACGUGGAUAACCUACCUAUAAGACUGGGAUAACUUCGGGAAACCGGAGCUAAUACCGGAUAAUAUUUUGAACCGCAUGGUUCAAAAGUGAAAGACGGUCUUGCUGCCACUUAUAGAUGGAUCCGCGCUGCAUUAGCUAGUUGGUAAGGUAACGGCUUACCAAGGCAACGAUGCAUAGCCGACCUGAGAGGGUGAUCGGCCACACUGGAACUGAGACACGGUCCAGACUCCUACGGGAGGCAGCAGUAGGGAAUCUUCCGCAAAGGGCGAAAGCCUGACGGAGCAACGCCGCGUGAGUGAUGAAGGUCUUCGGAUCGUAAAACUCUGUUAUUAGGGAAGAACAUAUGUGUAAGUAACUGUGCACAUCUUGACGGUACCCAAUCAGAAAGCCACGGCUAACUACGUG
rnacentral:rRNA from 1 species